GCCCCGCUAGCUCAGUCGGUAGAGCGUUGGACUUUUAAUCCAAUGGCUCGAGCCCCACGUGGGGCG
rnacentral:tRNA from 1 species